UGGCCCUUCUCCUUUGAGAAAUCGGCUACCUUUCCUCCCCAAGCAGAUCAUGUCUUGGUAGACUUCUUCUUAUCCAUGGCAGCUAGGAGGGUGCGGGGCCCCUGUGGGCGGAGGCCCCCCACACCUACCAUGUGGUACUCAGCACACAUU